UGACAGCUCUGUACCCUUGCAGGACCGAAAGACAUUUGCAAGGUAUCUAGAUAAAUGCUAUGCGAGGGCUGUCACUUUUGUGUAAAAAGCUUUUUCGAUUUUUAAGACAUAAGUGUUCACUGAAUUGAUUGUAAAAUCGAUUUUCCAUGUCUAAAAAAAAAAGACGUUUCCUUUUUUUUCAACGUCACAUAGAGCGCUUGGAAACGCACAAGUCAGCAAUAUUUCUUAUUUAUUGGCAUUAGAGCUUUAAUCUGGCCUUAAAAGUUAGGCCCGACAGGACCCGAGCUCGACAGGUUUCGGCCCGAGCCCGAGAAGUAUUCCAUUUUGAUUGACAGCUUUUUAAUAGCCCGAACCCGUGUGCAGCGCAGCCCGACAUUCAGAUAUGCGCAUACACACAAAGCUCUUUUGCCUUUUGUCAACAAUGAGUCAUUUAUUCAUGUUUUAACAUAAUUUAUUCAUAACUAACGUAGACUAGGCCACUUGGAAGUUGGAAUAAAGAAAUAAAAUAAGUCCUCUGUAACAUCGUAACAUCUCAGCACUAAAUAGACAGACUAAUUUAGUCUAUAAAUAAAAAAAAACGCACCAAUAAAAACGAGUCUUUUUUAACAGAUUAAAUUAAGAUACAUUUUUAAUUAAGAUGGGUAUUUGGCAAUAACGAAAUUAAGAUAAAGGCUCCGCCGGGUUUGCUUCUCCACAUACACUCUAAAAACGGCUGGGUUAUUUUUUAACCCAAAAUGUUGGGUUGAGUAUGUUGGGUCAUUUUGUUGGGUUAUUUUAUUUCUUUUUAAACACUUUUGGGUAGUUUCAAUUUACCAGGUGUUGGGUUAAACCUGCUGGGUUGCGUCGCUGGGUUGUUUCAGGCCAGCGCUGGGUUAUUUAACGCGCCUUGAAGAUGUUUAAAUCGCUCGCCAACUGUCAUUUUGGAAGAACAACGGGGCAAAGCCACGGCUUUCAACUGUUUUAAGGUAAGUUUAUUUAAUUUUUUCUUUAAUAAUUAUUUUAAAUUGGCAGAAUUAUAACUUUUUUUGCGCCAACAAUACUGUUAAACGUCUAACAGUUACAGGCCAACAUUAUUUACGUUAAAUGAUGAACUGUUCACCUCAAACGGCCAACCUACGUUACGUGACUCGCAUAAUCGUGUUAAGAUAUCUGAGACGACAUAUUAAUACAGUUUUUAUUAAGUUUCAGACAGUGACGGAUGGCUGAAAUAUGCGAAUACCUGUGAGAUUUAAGUGAGUCAAAUGAGUUCAAAAAGUGAAUACGACAUUCUGCUCUAAGGUAAACGCAUGCAGUUGUCCAUAUCGACAUGUAAAUCAUACAAAUUACGUGCAAUAUAGUCGGACCGCAGGUCUAAGAGAACCGACGAUCCAGUUCAAAUAAACCGGUUCAGUAAUUCUCGAACAAAGUGAUUCCCGGAAAAUAAUCGACGUCUCAGGGCAUUUCAAAGUGCGCGGAUGCACAGCGAGUGACGUAGGCCGCGUUAGUGAGGUGAUUUGAUGCUUUUGUGCUUUAUAAAGUCUUUUUACAUACAAGUUAUAAUUCAAAAUGUUGUUUUUUCCUGUCAGAAAAGCACAUGGAUACAUUUGUGAGAGAAAAACUCGUCGAGUGCAGUCUUAUUGAGGCGUCUAACGGUUGGAACAAACAUGGAAUUCCUUAACCGAGCAGAGUCCACAAAACCCCAUACAAUUGUUGUGGCGAUUUAAAAAUGCCAGCAGAUCUCUCAGGCAUUGAUCAUAAUCAAUGGACAGGUCACCGUAGCCACCAGAUCCAGUCUGUAUCCAGAUCAGAGGGUCACUGCAGUCACCCGGAUCCAGUACGUAUUCAGACCAGAUGGUGGAUCAGCACCUAGAAAGGACCUCUACAGCCCUGAAAGACAGUGGAGACCAGGACAACUAGAGCCCCAGAUACAGAUCCUCUGUAAAGACUCAGAGAACCACCAGGACAAAACCACAGGAAAGAGAUGAUUCUUCUGCACAAUCUGACUUUGCUGCAGCCUGGAAUUGAACUACUGGUUUUGUCUGGACAGAGGAGAACUGGCCCCCCAACUGAGCCUGGUUUCUCCCAAGGUUUUUUUCUCCAUUCUGUCACCGAUGGAGUUUCGGUUCCUUGGUUUUCCUAAGUUGGGGACCAUUAAGAUCAAGCGAUAUCAUCGACUUGAUCGCACAGAGGGACGAUACAUCACUGAAUCAAUGAUGAACUGACUUUAAAUGAAAACUGAGUGUUUACUGUUAUCCCUUCACAUUAUUGCACACUAUUUUCCCAUUUAAUAUUGUAAAGCUGCUAUGAUGCAGUAUUUGAUCAAUAUGACAGGCGUAUUACUCAUAAUACAUGGAAAAUACAGCUGCAAAGGGACUUUGCUUUUCCAUUUGAAAUUUGGCAGUCACUGUGCAUUCAUGAAAACUGAAACAGUAAUUUUUGUUCAGUGUUUUUGAAACAGUGUUUUUAUUCAAUAUUUGCAAUUGUGUUUGGAUUAUGUCACAAUGUGUCUUUAUCUCAUUUUCUUUUGAAAAUUGUCCUUCCAUAGACAGGCUCUAUAACAGAGUACACUGCUCUCAGGUGUAGAUCUUUGCUUCAGAGCUUAAGUGUUUGACAAUAGUACACCCAAAAAUGAAAAUUGUCAUUAAUUAUUCACCCUGGUCUGAAACCUCUCGAAUUUCAAUUUGUGUUCUGAAGAUGAACGAAGGUCUUACAGGUUUGUAACAACAUGAAUUUGAGUAAUAAAUGACAGAAUUUUUGGGUGAACUAUAUAUGUUGAACUACCCUAAGCAGUGCACAUCUACCUACAUAGGAGUCUUUAUAUACUUGAUAUAAAUUUAAGGACAUCUUUAAAUGAUUUUACAUUUAAAUUUAAAGAAUGUUAAUUGUCAAUGUCAUUUCACUGUGUAUUUAAAUAGCUAAACAUGUCAAAAUGUAAUAGUUAAACAGCUAGACAGGUCACUCAGAAAUAAUUUUCUUAUUUAUUGCAACUAUAAUUCUGUGAUUUUUAUUUUAUUUAUUUAUUUUGCAUUUGCUGGAAACAAAAAAAAGGGAAAAUUCCAUAUUGUUUGUCAUUGGUACAAAUUUUUGAAUGUCAGAUGGCAUUAAAAUUAUUUUUUAACAGUCUAAA